UGUGAAGCUGACCGUUAUCGUAAAGUUUUCAAAUACCGUCAGGUAAUCGAUUAUUGAUUCUGAAUAAUUGAUUGUUUUGAUUAAAAUCCGGAAAAGAUUUUUUGAAUGUUAUUGGGUAAUCGAUAAUUGAUUCUGUAUAAUCGAUUGUUUUGAUUAAAAUCCGGAAAAGAUUUUUCGAACGUUGCUGAGUAAUCGAUUGUUGAUUCUGGACAAUCGAUUGUUUGUGGUAAAAUCUGGAAAGGAUUUUUUGAACGUUGCCAGUAAUCGAUUAUGG
rnacentral:lncRNA from 1 species